AUGAAGAUCUUUUGCAUUCAAGUGAAACUGUCAAUUCAGGACUAGAUUCUGAUACCCUAAAAGAAUAUGAAGCAGUGAAUGAAAGAAUGGGAUUGUCUUGUGGAGUUUUAAAAAAACGAUCGAAUUUAUGUUAUACUAGAUGGCAUCGACUAAGAUUAAAAACCUAAGGGUAUUACAGAAGAGGAAUAGAAUAUUACACUGUGGCAGUUGUUGAAUACUUGGGAGUAAUAGAGAAGAACAAGUAAACCUACUGC